CCUACGGGUGGCUGCAGUGGGGAAUAUUGCACAAUGGAGGAAACCCUGAUGCAGCGACGCCGCGUGAGUGAAGAAGUAUUUCGGUAUGUAAAGCUCUAUCAGCAUGGAAGAAAAUGACUGUACCUGAUUAAGAAGCCCCGUCUAACUACGUGCCAGCAGCCGCGGUAAUACGUAGGGGGCAAGCGUUAUCCGGAGGUACUGGGUGUAAAGGGAGCGUAGACGGCAGGACAAGUCUGGAGUGAAAUGCCGGGGCUUAACCCCGGAAUUGCUUUGGAAACUGUGCAGCUAGAGUGCAGGAGAGGUAAGUGGAAUUCCUGGUGUAGCGGUGAAAUGCGUAGAUAUUAGGAGGAACACCAGUUGCGAAGGCGGCUUACUGGACUGUAACUGACGCUGAGGCUCGAAAGCGUGGGGAGCAAACAGGAUUAGAUACCCUUGUAGUC
rnacentral:rRNA from 1 species